rnacentral:rRNA from 1 species
AGCGAACGCUGGCGGCAGGCUUAACACAUGCAAGUCGAGCGGGCACCUUUCGGGGUGUCAGCGGCGGACGGGUGAGUAACGCGUGGGAACGUGCCCUCUGGUUCGGAAUAACUCAGGGAAACUUGAGCUAAUACCGGAUACGCCCUUUUGGGGAAAGGCUUGCUGCCGGAGGAUCGGCCCGCGUCUGAUUAGCUAGUUGGUGAGGUAACGGCUCACCAAGGCGACGAUCAGUAGCUGGUCUGAGAGGAUGAUCAGCCACACUGGGACUGAGACACGGCCCAGACUCCUACGGGAGGCAGCAGUGGGGAAUUUUGGACAAUGGGCGCAAGCCUGAUCCAGCCAUGCCGCGUGAGUGAUGAAGGCCUUAGGGUUGUAAAGCUCUUUUAUCCGGGACGAUGAUGACGGUACCGGAGGAAUAAGCCCCGGCUAACUUCGUG